rnacentral:rRNA from 1 species
UCACUUUCAACAACGGAUCUCUUGGCUCUCGCAUCGAUGAAGAACGUAGCGAAGUGCGAUAAGUAAUGUGAAUUGCAGAAUUCCGUGAGUCAUCGAAUCUUUGAACGCAAAUUGCACUUCCUGGCAUUCCGGGAAGUAUGCCUGUUUGAGGGUCAGU